rnacentral:tRNA from 1 species
UGAGCCCAGAGGGAUUCGAACCCCCAGCCUUCUGAUCUGGAGUCAGACGCGCUACCGUUGCGCCAUAGGCCCAA